CGGCCAGUGAAGGGUGACAGACUUCCUUCCCCAGGGCCGUGUGGAUGGCUGCAAGGUGUGCGUCAGACACCCAGACCCAACUCAGUGCAGGUGGACCACAUGAAUCUCAGCAGGCAUCAUCCAGAAGAUGCCUCCACCCUCAGGAACUCCGCUCCUUCCUCAGGGAACCCCCGACUGGGCCUGGCCCACCCCUUCUUGGAUCCUCCAUGACUUGUACUGUGUCAUCUGAAACCUGUCCCUUUAGUCAGGAGCGGUGGCAUCCAGUGACCACACAGGGACAGUUGGGAACUUGGUCCUCGUCUUAGAGUGGACACCUCGGCCACAACCUUUAUAAACCCGAGAUCUGAAACUAGGCAGAAUGAAGUCAACGACCAGAGGAACAAGAACCAACAGCAGCGAGGAAAAUCGAGGGGGAGACGGGCCUUCUUCAUGGACACCUGGAGUCCGUCCACCAGAGCCACGUCUACCGCAGAUGUCCCAGGCAAGAGAUUGGUGCAUUUUUUUUUCAUUUAAAAAAGCAUAAAGUCAUAAUGGACGGGUGACAACUGGGACUUUUGUGAGAACAUUGAUUCCAUGGUGGUGGUUCCUGGACCUGGCGCACACAUUGUGGGAGAGGCUGCGACAGCAGAUGUGGGGUCCAGGAGAUGAAGAUCCAGAAACAGCAAAUGUCCAAGGGCAGCUGAAGGUCGUAGCAUGCCUGUCCUGACAGGUGACAGUGACAUGUCCACACCAAACCUGUCCCCAUCUGACCAGUGGUGUUGGUGCCCCUGGAGACCUUCAGUGGGCUCUGCCCAGGAGAUGGGGGUCUGGUUUGUGCCCACGUGCUCUGUUUCACCUGCUGGAAGCUGUUUUUCUUUGUGCACAACUUUUUUGAUGAUUACUAAGAAGAAACUCCUGAAACCUACCAAGGCUUGGCUGACUCAUGCUCUGUGAACCUGCAAGUCUCCAUGACUCACCACAAUCUCUCUCUACUUCUCUUUUGAGCUUCAACUUCCUGGGAGCCAUGCAAUAACCUCAGCACAGACAGGAAGGAAGGAGACAGUGUUGGUUUUAUUUGGCACACUCCACAGAAGCGAAUCCAGACUGCAUUUGUGCUGGGUUUCGGGGUGCACACCUGUAAUCUCAGGGCUUGGGAGGCUGAGACAGGAGGAUCACGAGUUCAAAGCCAGCCUCAGCAAAAGUGAGGUGCUAAGCAUCUCUGUGAGACCCUGUUUCUCAAUAAAACACAAAAUAGAGCUGGGGAUGUGGCUCCGUGGCCAAGUGCCCCAGAGUUCAACCCUAGGUAUUGUUGUUCAUUGCCAUCAGGAAUUGAGUUUUCAACUGUAGCCCGACUCUCCUCUCUUCUCCAAGGAGCAUUUCACAACAAAUCUUACUCCUUGUCACAGCAACUUGACACUUCUUCUGAGAAUUAUCUCUGAACAAAAUUGAAAUGCAAAUCUUUGGAUGUCUGUUUAUGCCUAAAAUAAAUCAACUCCGUGUCUUCA